UAAUAAAUAUUUGCUUAUAAAUUAAAUGUUUGUGUUUAAAAAUAUAUAAGAAAAAUAAUUUUUAAUAUAUAAAAAAUAGUAUAAUUAAAAAAUUUAAUAAAAAAUGGCUUUAGUUUAAAAGUAUUGUAAAAGAAAAUUGAAAUAAAUAAUUAAAAUUUAAUUAGCAAUAAGUAUGUUUUUAGAUUAGUACCUUGUGUAUCAGGGAAUAUUUAAAUUACUUAUGUAAUAUAAAAAUCCCGAAAAAAAAAUAGCUAAUGUAGUAACAUUGUUUUAGUUUUAAAUAAAUUUAAAAUACUGCAUUAGUAGUGAAAUAUUAAUCGAGUUUUUUAAUAUCUGGUUCUUUUAGAUAUGAAUUUAAUUCUUUUACUCUGACUAUAAAGUCGUGUAGAAAAUUGUAGGAGGGAUAAGCUUCUUAUAUAUUAUUAAAUUAUAGUGUAAUAAUUGUAAAGUUGUUUGACUAGGCUUAAAAGUAGCCUUGUUUUUAAAGUGUUAAAACUAAAAUAAAUAGAAGUAACAUUAUUUAAAUAACACUUAGUUUUUAAUUAUAAAAGUAUUUGGAAAAACUAAAUACCAAAAGUAAAAAUGAUAUUAUUAGUAUAGAAUUAAUGUGGUGCAAUUUAACAAAUUAAAAUAAUGAUAAAAUUGUAAUAAAAAAAAGAUAACUUUAAAGGAAUUCGGCAAAUAUAACUUCUGCCUGUUUAUCAAAAACAUGUCUUUAUGGUAUUAAUAUAAAGUCUGAUCUGCCCAAUGAUAAGUAAUUUUAAUGGCCGCGGUAUAUUGACCGUGCGAAGGUAGCAUAAUAAUUUGUCCUUUAAUUAAGGACUAGAAUGAAUGAUUGAACAAGAAGGUAACUGUCUCUAAGUUAUAACUUGAAAUUAACAUUUAAGUGAAAAGGCUUAAAUAAGUUAAGGGGACGAUAAGACCCUAUAAAUCUUUAUAUUUGUUUUUAUUAAAUUAAGUAAUAAUAACAAACUUAGUUUAAUAAAUUUAAAUAUUUUGUUGGGGAGACAGAAGUAUAAAUAGUAACUGCUUUAAAAUUUAAGUUAAUAAUGUUUAAUAUAAAGACCCUGUAAUAUAGGUAUUAGUUUAAGUUACUUUAGGGAUAACAGCGUAAUUUUUUUUAAGAGUUCAUAUCGAAAAAAAAGAUUGCGACCUCGAUGUUGAAUUAAAGAUCCUUUGCGGCGUAGGGGCUGUAAUAGGGGGUCUGUUCGACCCUUAAAACUUUACAUGAUUUGAGUUCAGACCGGCGCAAGCCAGGUCGGUUUCUAUCUCUUAAAAAAAAAUUUAUUUUCUUCGUACGAAAGGAUUAGAAAAUAAUAAUAGUUAUAAAUAAAAUCUAAUA
rnacentral:rRNA from 1 species